rnacentral:rRNA from 1 species
GAUGAACGCUGGCGGCGUGCCUAAUACAUGCAAGUCGAGCGAACGGAUGAGAAGCUUGCUUCUCUGAUGUUAGCGGCGGACGGGUGAGUAACACGUGGAUAACCUACCUAUAAGACUGGGAUAACUUCGGGAAACCGGAGCUAAUACCGGAUAAUAUUUUGAACCGCAUGGUUCAAAAGUGAAAGACGGUCUUGCUGUCACUUAUAGAUGGAUCCGCGCUGCAUUAGCUAGUUGGUAAGGUAACGGCUUACCAAGGCAACGAUGCAUAGCCGACCUGAGAGGGUGAUCGGCCACACUGGAACUGAGACACGGUCCAGACUCCUACGGGAGGCAGCAGUAGGGAAUCUUCCGCAAUGGGCGAAAGCCUGACGGAGCAACGCCGCGUGAGUGAUGAAGGUCUUCGGAUCGUAAAACUCUGUUAUUAGGGAAGAACAUAUGUGUAAGUAACUGUGCACAUCUUGACGGUACCUAAUCAGAAAGCCACGGCUAACUACAUG